UACGUAGGGUGCGAGCGUUGUCCGGAAUUAUUGGGCGUAAAGGGCUCGUAGGCGGUCUGUCGCGUCGGCUGUGAAAACCCGGAGCUCAACUCCGGGCCUGCAGUCGAUACGGGCAGACUGGAGUUCGGCAGGGGAGACUGGAAUUCCUGGUGUAGCGGUGAAAUGCGCAGAUAUCAGGAGGAACACCGGUGGCGAAGGCGGUUCUCUGGGCAUUACCUGACGCUGAGGAGCGAAAGUGUGGGGAGCGAACAGG
rnacentral:rRNA from 1 species